rnacentral:rRNA from 1 species
GUAGGGCGGGACACGUGGUAUCCUGUCUGAAUAUGGGGGGACCAUCCUCCAAGGCUAAAUACUCCUGACUGACCGAUAGUGAACCAGUACCGUGAGGGAAAGGCGAAAAGAACCCCGGCGAGGGGAGUGAAAAAGAACCUGAAACCGUGUACGUACAAGCAGUGGGAGCACAGAGCAAUCUGUGUGACUGCGUACCUUUUGUAUAAUGGGUCAGCGACUUAUAUUCUGUAGCAAGGUUAACCGAAUAGGGGAGCCGAAGGGAAACCGAGUCUUAACUGGGCGUUAAGUUGCAGGGUAUAGACCCGAAACCCGGUGAUCUAGCCAUGGGCAGGUUGAAGGUUGGGUAACACUAACUGGAGGACCGAACCGACUAAUGUUGAAAAAUUAGCGGAUGACUUGUGGCUGGGGGUGAAAGGCCAAUCAAACCGGGAGAUAGCUGGUUCUCCCCGAAAGCUAUUUAGGUAGCGCCUCGUGAAUUCAUCUCCGGGGGUAGAGCACUGUUUCGGCAAGGGGGUCAUCCCGACUUACCAACCCGAUGCAAACUGCGAAUACCGGAGAAUGUUAUCACGGGAGACACACGGCGGGUGCUAACGUCCGUCGUGAAGAGGGAAACAACCCAGACCGCCAGCUAAGGUCCCAAAGUCAUGGUUAAGUGGGAAACGAUGUGGGAAGGCCCAGACAGCCAGGAUGUUGGCUUAGAAGCAGCCAUCAUUUAAAGAAAGCGUAAUAGCUCACUGGUCGAGUCGGCCUGCGCGGAAGAUGUAACGGGGCUAAACCAUGCACCGAAGCUGCGGCAGCGACGCUGAUGCGUUGUUGGGUAGGGGAGCGUUCUGUAAGCCUGUGAAGGUGUGCUGUGAGGCAUGCUGGAGGUAUCAGAAGUGCGAAUGCUGACAUAAGUAACGAUAAAGCGGGUGAAAAGCCCGCUCGCCGGAAGACCAAGGGUUCCUGUCCAACGUUAAUCGGGGCAGGGUGAGUCGACCCCUAAGGCGAGGCCGAAAGGCGUAGUCGAUGGGAAACAGGUUAAUAUUCCUGUACUUGGUGUUACUGCGAAGGGGGGACGGAGAAGGCUAUGUUGGCCGGGCGACGGUUGUCCCGGUUUAAGCGUGUAGGCUGGUUUUCCAGGCAAAUCCGGAAAACUAAGGCUGAGGCGUGAUGACGAGGCACUACGGUGCUGAAGCAACAAAUGCCCUGCUUCCAGGAAAAGCCUCUAAGCAUCAGGUAACAUCAAAUCGUACCCCAAACCGACACAGGUGGUCAGGUAGAGAAUACCAAGGCGCUUGAGAGAACUCGGGUGAAGGAACUAGGCAAAAUGGUGCCGUAACUUCGGGAGAAGGCACGCUGAUAUGUAGGUGAAGUCCCUCGCGGAUGGAGCUGAAAUCAGUCGAAGAUACCAGCUGGCUGCAACUGUUUAUUAAAAACACAGCACUGUGCAAACACGAAAGUGGACGUAUACGGUGUGACGCCUGCCCGGUGCCGGAAGGUUAAUUGAUGGGGUCAGCGCAAGCGAAGCUCUUGAUCGAAGCCCCGGUAAACGGCGGCCGUAACUAUAACGGUCCUAAGGUAGCGAAAUUCCUUGUCGGGUAAGUUCCGACCUGCACGAAUGGCGUAAUGAUGGCCAGGCUGUCUCCACCCGAGACUCAGUGAAAUUGAACUCGCUGUGAAGAUGCAGUGUACCCGCGGCAAGACGGAAAGACCCCGUGAACCUUUACUAUAGCUUGACACUGAACAUUGAGCCUUGAUGUGUAGGAUAGGUGGGAGGCUUUGAAGUGUGGACGCCAGUCUGCAUGGAGCCGACCUUGAAAUACCACCCUUUAAUGUUUGAUGUUCUAACGUUGACCCGUAAUCCGGGUUGCGGACAGUGUCUGGUGGGUAGUUUGACUGGGGCGGUCUCCUCCUAAAGAGUAACGGAGGAGCACGAAGGUUGGCUAAUCCUGGUCGGACAUCAGGAGGUUAGUGCAAUGGCAUAAGCCAGCUUGACUGCGAGCGUGACGGCGCGAGCAGGUGCGAAAGCAGGUCAUAGUGAUCCGGUGGUUCUGAAUGGAAGGGCCAUCGCUCAACGGAUAAAAGGUACUCCGGGGAUAACAGGCUGAUACCGCCCAAGAGUUCAUAUCGACGGCGGUGUUUGGCACCUCGAUGUCGGCUCAUCACAUCCUGGGGCUGAAGUAGGUCCCAAGGGUAUGGCUGUUCGCCAUUUAAAGUGGUACGCGAGCUGGGUUUAGAACGUCGUGAGACAGUUCGGUCCCUAUCUGCCGUGGGCGCUGGAGAACUGAGGGGGGCUGCUCCUAGUACGAGAGGACCGGAGUGGACGCAUCACUGGUGUUCGGGUUGUCAUGCCAAUGGCACUGCCCGGUAGCUAAAUGCGGAAGAGAUAAGUGCUGAAAGCAUCUAAGCACGAAACUUGCCCCGAGAUGAGUUCUCCCUGACUCCUUGAGAGUCCUGAAGGAACGUUGAAG